rnacentral:rRNA from 1 species
GUGUCAGCAGCCGCGGUAAGACAGAGGGUGCAAACGUUGUUCGGAUUUACUGGGCGUAAAGCGCGUGUAGGCGGCCUUGCAAGUUGGAUGUGAAAGCCCACGGCUCAACCGUGGAAGCGCAUCCAAAACUGCAUCGCUCGAGUCUCGGAGAGGAAGGUGGAAUGCUUGGUGUAGAGGUGAAAUUCGUAGAUAUCAAGCAGAACACCUGCGGCGAAGGCGGCCUUCUGGACGAUGACUGACGCUGAGACGCGAAAGCGUGGGGAGCAAACAGGAUUAGAAACCCUGGUAGUCC